UACGAAGGGGGCUAGCGUUGCUCGGAAUCACUGGGCGUAAAGGGUGCGUAGGCGGGUCUUUAAGUCAGGGGUGAAAUCCUGGAGCUCAACUCCAGAACUGCCUUCGAUACUGGGAAUCUUGAGUUCGGGAGAGGUGAGUGGAACUGCGAGUGUAGAGGUGAAAAUUCGUAGAUAUUCGCAAGAACACCAGUGGCGAAGGCGGCUCACUGGCCCGAGUACUGACGCUGAGGUGCGAAAGCGUGGGGAGCAAACAGGG
rnacentral:rRNA from 1 species